rnacentral:rRNA from 1 species
CGACGCCGCGUGAGCGAAGAAGGCCUUCGGGUCGUAAAGCUCAAUAGUAUGGGAAGAAAGAAGUGACGGUACCAUACGAAAGCCCCGGCUAACUACGUGCCAGCAGCCGCGGUAAUACGUAGGGGGCGAGCGUUGUCCGGAAUUACUGGGCGUAAAGAGCACGUAGGCGGCUAUAAAAGUCAGAUGUGAAAAACCUGGGCUCAACCGAGGGUAUGCAUCUGAAACUAAAUAGCUUGAGUCAAGGAGAG